CGGAGGAAAAGAAACCAACAGGGAUUGCCUCAGUAACGGCGAGUGAAGCGGCAACAGCUCAAAUUUGAAAUCUGACCCCUUCGGGGCCCGAGUUGUAAUUUGUAGAGGGUGUUUCGGGCGCGGCGCCGGUCUAAGUUCCUUGGAACAGGACGUCAUAGAGGGUGAGAAUCCCGUAUGUGACCGGCGAUCAAGCCCAUGUGAAGCCCCUUCGACGAGUCGAGUUGUUUGGGAAUGCAGCUCAAAAUGGGUGGUAAAUUCCAUCUAAAGCUAAAUAUUGGCCGGAGACCGAUAGCGGACAAGUAGAGUGAUCGAAAGAUGAAAAGCACUUUGGAAAGAGAGUCAAACAGUACGUGAAAUUGUUGAAAGGGAAGCGCUUGCGACCAGACCGGUCCGGGGGCGAUCAGCCGCUGCUCGUCAGCUGGUGCACUCGCCCCCGAUCCGGCCAGCAUCGGUUUGGGCGGUGGGAGAAAAGCCUCGGGAAUGUAGCUUCUUUCGGGGAGUCUUAUAGCCCGGGGCGCAAUGCCGCCCGCCCGGACCGAGGACCGCGCUUCGGCUAGGAUGCUGGCGUAAUGGUUGCAAGCGACCCGUCUUGAAACACGGACCAAGGAGUCUAACAUCUAUGCGAGUGUUUGGGUGUCAAACCCAGGCGCGGAAUGAAAGUGAACGGAGGUGGGAGCCCGUCGCACGGCGCACCAUCGACCGAUCCAGAUGUCUUCGGAUGGAUUUGAGUAUGAGCAUAGCUGUUGGGACCCGAAAGAUGGUGAACUAUGCCCGGAUAGGGUGAAGCCAGAGGAAACUCUGGUGGAGGCUCGCAGCGGUUCUGACGUGCAAAUCGAUCGUCAAAUCUAGGCAUAGGGGCGAAAGACCA
rnacentral:rRNA from 1 species